GCGUACCUCCCACGUGGAAAAGAAGAUGGAUGAAUAUGCCGAGGCCCACAACAGCCUUGCGGACAAGCUCCAAGAGCUUGAAUCAACCCUACAGGAACACAAGCUAAAAAUGGCAGAUAUGGAGGACCUGACUUGGAGGAAUUACCUGCGAAUAAGAGGGGUCCACCCCUCUGCACUUAACUCCUACCUGCUGGAUUUUUUCCAAGCUCUCACGCCUGAGACCCACCCAGACCAGCUCCUCAUUGACAGGGCCCAUCGACUCAGAUGCCCUCCACACUUACC